CCUACGGGAGGCAGCAGUGGGGGAUAUUGGACAAUGGGGGGAACCCUGAUCCAGCGACGCCGCGUGAGUGAAGAAGUAUUUCGGUAUGUAAAGCUCUGUCAGCAGGGAAGAAAGAAAUGACGGUACCUGACCAAGCAGCCCCGGCUAACUACGUGCCAGCAGCCGCGGUAAUACGUAGGGGGCAAGCGUUAUCCGGAAUUACUGGGUGUAAAGGGAGCGUAGACGGUUAAGUAAGUCUGGAGUGAAAGGCCGGGGCCCAACCCCGGGACUGCUCUGGAAACUAUUGAACUUGAGUGCAGGAGAGGUAAGCGGAAGUCCGAGUGUAGCGGUGAAAUGCGUAGAGAUUAGGAGGAACACCAGUGGCGAAGGCGGCUUACUGGACUGUAACUGACGUUGAGGCUCGAAAGCGUGGGGAGCAAACAGGAUUAGAUACCCUGGUAGUC
rnacentral:rRNA from 1 species